UUUGAUCCUGGCUCAGAACGAACGCUGGCGGCAAGCCUAACACAUGCAAGUCGAACGGACAAUUGCUUAUAGCCUUUGGCUAUAAAUAAUUGUUAGUGGCAGACGGGUGAGUAAUGCGUAGGAAUCUACCUAGUAGUAUGGAAUAGCCAUUAGAAAUGAUGGGUAAUACUGUAUAAUCCCUGCGGGGGAAAGAUUUAUCGCUAUUAGAUGAGCCUACGUUAGAUUAGCUAGUUGGUAAGGUAAUGGCUUACCAAGGCUAUGAUCUAUAGCUGGUCUGAGAGGACGAUCAGCCACACUGGAACUGAGAUACGGUCCAGACUCCUACGGGAGGCAGCAGUGGGGAAUAUUGGACAAUGGGCGAAAGCCUGAUCCAACUAUGCCGCGUGAG
rnacentral:rRNA from 1 species